UACGUAGGCAGCAAGCGUUGUUCGGAAUUACUAGGCGUAAAGAGUGUGUAGGCGGUGCUCCAAGUCUGGUGUGAAAUCUCCCGGCUUAACUGGGAGGGUGCAUUAGAAACUGGAAUGCUAGAGGAUGGGAGAGGUAAGCGGAAUUCCUGGUGUAGCGGUGAAAUGCGUAGAUAUCAGGAGGAACACCGGUGGUGUAGACGGCUCUCUGGACCGUAACUGACGCUGAGGCACGAAAGCGUGGGUAGCAAACAGG
rnacentral:rRNA from 1 species